GUGCUGGAUAUUGCCUGCGUAUGUUCGGCCCCUCGUGUUCGGCCCGGUUCGACCCACUGAGUUGAAAAUCAGGACCGGAGUGAGAGUCCCAGCGGCUCCAGCCGGGACAUGUUGAAGCAAUCAGAGCCAUGCUGGUGGGACCCACUUCUCAUUCAUCCAAGUGAACUGCGCGUUAUGUUGAAGCAAUCAGAGCCAUGCUGUUGGGACCCACUUCUCAUUCACCCCAGUGUGCUGAGCGUUAUCUGCAGUGAGCCAGGCCUCCACUGACGGGGAGGUGAGCUGAGAUGGUUUCUGAGCGACGUACAAAACAACGCUGAUAGAAAAAAAAAAAAGAAGAAGAAAAU